rnacentral:rRNA from 1 species
CGUGAAAUUGUUGAAAGGGAAGCGCUCAUGACCAUACUUGGGCGUGGUUGGUCAUCCAGGGUUCUGCCUGGUGCACUCUUGCAGCCCAGGCCAGCAUCAGUUCGCUGUAGGGGAUAAAGGCUUUGGGAAUGUGGCUCCUCCGGGAGUGUUAUAGCCCAUUGUGUAAUACCCUGUGGUGGACUGAGGUUCGCGCAUCUGCAGGGAUGCUGGCGUAAUGGUCAUCAGCGACCCGUCUUGAAACACGG